rnacentral:rRNA from 1 species
GACGGACCGUACAAACGUUAUUCGGAAUCACUGGGCUUAAAGGGUGCGUAGGCGGCGCUGCAAGUUGGGUGUGAAAUCCCUCGGCUCAACCGAGGAACUGCGCCCAAAACUGCAGUGCUGGAGGGAGACAGAGGUGAGCGGAACUUAGGGUGGAGCGGUGAAAUGCGUUGAUAUCCUAAGGAACACCAGUGGCGAAAGCGGCUCACUGGGUCUCUUCUGACGCUGAGGCACGAAAGCUAGGGUAGCGAACGGG